AGAGUUUGAUCNUGGCUCAGGACGAACGCUGGCGGCGUGCUUAACACAUGCAAGUCGAGCGAUGAAACUACUUCGGUAGUGAAUUAGCGGCGAACGGGUGAGGAACACGUGAGGAAUCUGCCUUCAACACUGGGAUAACUCCGGGAAACCGGGGCUAAUACCGGAUACGAGCCUUGAUCGCAUGAUCGAGGCUGGAAAGUUUUUCGGUUGAAGAUGACCUCGCGGCCUAUCAGCUUGUUGGUGAGGUAAUGGCUCACCAAGGCGACGACGGGUAGCCGGCCUGAGAGGGCGACCGGCCACACUGGGACUGAGACACGGCCCAGACUCCUACGGGAGGCAGCAGUGGGGAAUAUUGGGCAAUGGAGGAAACUCUGACCCAGCGACGCCGCGUGCGGGAUGAAGGCCUUCGGGUUGUAAACCGCUUUCAGUAGGGAAGAAGCGAAAGUGACGGUACCUACAGAAGAAGCACCGGCUAACUAUGUGCCAGCAGCCGCGGUAAUACAUAGGGUGCAAGCGUUGUCCGGAAUUAUUGGGCGUAAAGAGCUCGUAGGUGGUUUGAUACGUCGGGUGUGAAAUUCAGGGGCUCAACCCCUGACCUGCAUUCGAUACGGUCAAGCUAGAGUUUGGUAGGGGAGACUGGAAUUCCUGGUGUAGCGGUGGAAUGCGCAGAUAUCAGGAGGAACACCGAUGGCGAANGCAGGUCUCUGGGCCAAUACUGACACUGAGGAGCGAAAGCGUGGGGAGCGAACAGGAUUAGAUACCCUGGUAGUCCACGCCGUAAACGGCGGGCGCUAGUUGUGCGAACCUUCCACGGUUUG
rnacentral:rRNA from 1 species